rnacentral:lncRNA from 1 species
CUGCUGCUGCCUUAUUUCAACCCUGCACAUAUCUGGCUUAUUAUGAAUCCCACUGCACUGCUGCUGAUGUUGAUUGCGUUUCUGAGAAGUAAAGUCAGACUCGGUCGUCUGACAUCGGCCUGAGGACCAAGGCCAAGGCACACGGACUGAGUGGGAGUGAUUGGAAACAGUGUUGACAUGCACACAAGAAGCUGGAAAUGUCAAUUGCUGCUUGAGGUAAACACGGAUUUUGCCAGGAAGCAUUUCCCGUAUGGCCAGAUGUUCCUUUUCCUAAUGGAAGUCUCCUCUUCCAGGCGUCGCCUGCUGGUCUCGGCACAGUGCUUCUAUCUCAGCCUCCUGCGCUCUGUGCCCCGCUACACAUUUGUGCAACGCCUGUCUUAUUCGUUCACGCAUUUCUUCUUUUUGAAUUUCGCGUUUUCCUGUUCUCUGACCUCUUCUGUUAAUUUUAUUAAUACCCUUCUCAAUCUGAGAAAAGAUGGAGCUAAAUCCUCAUGCAUAUGUUUACAAGUCUUGGAAUUCUUGGGGAGGAGAUCUUUGAAAGACAAUAUUAAUCUCUCUUACUAAAGGCUUUUAAUUCUCUUCAGAAUAAGUGGUGCUACAAUGUACAAGAUUUGGUGCUGAAGAUAAAACAAACAAGUAAGCAAAAAAACCUAAGACUGGAAACAAAACGUUUUGGAGACAGAAGUCUUAUGCCUGCUUCCUGGUCCUCCAGAGAGCUGCUCUUUGAAUAGAAGUUGCCAGCGAUGUUGCUAUUUUUUUUUUUUGUCUGAGGUCAUGUUUGACUUUUUUGUUUUUGGUGUUUUAUUAAAUCCCGCACUGUUAAACUGCCCAUUAUCUAUUGUUCUUUUUCCUGGUGGGUAUUUCCUGGACUUGUCUGUUGCCCUGUGUGACUAACUGACCCUGUAUGACACUCCAGUCGGAAGGGACAUUGCCAGUCUGUGGACGAGAGACUCAUUUUACCACUUCCCCACAUGGUCACAAACGGAUGUGUGAACACAAUGUGAAAAGCCAACAGGAAACUUAAAAAAAGAAACAAAAAAAAGUUUUUAAAGAAUCGGAUUGUGUUCUUACCAAGUUGCUCAUAGAAAUAUAAUUGUUCAUUAAUUCCAAAAUCAGGAAGAGAAAUCUUGUAACUUUAAAAAGCAAAGCCUUAAUAAUAUUAAGAGUUUUAAAUUAAAGUGUUAAUGUAAAAACUAUUUCAUUAAGUGAAUUGUCCCACAUCUUAGGUGUUUUUUAAUUUAUCAAAAAUGUAUUAAAUACAAUUGACAUCUCAAAAUCAGAAAACACUUUUACAUUUUUUAAAGACUUUUUUCCCUUUGAUCAGCUUUCAUUUUUCUAAGUAGUACACUAAGUCACAGGCAAAGAAAACCCAAGCAGUGAUAUUAACUAUAACAUGAAAUAUUAUCCUGGGCUUAAGAAAUCAUAAAUAUUUUGAAGUUGAGAAAGGAAGAACUACUGGCAUUAAAGUCCAAGCCCCUGCUUGUAAAAUUAUUUGUGAAAAUCUCUAACACUCUUGAGUAAAUUUUAACAUUAUGGUAUUUUCAAUAAUCAAAUGCAUCAUUUAUUUGGAUUAAUAGGGGAUUUACAGAUUGAUUUUUUUUCAUAUAUGUUUCUUAGAUUUACAUUCCAAAUAAUUCUCAAAAAUACUGGAGUUCUGAAUAUUAGUUUUUAUAGUUUAGAAGGUGAAAGAAAAGAAAUAUUGGAACUAAAGAGGUAAAUAUGAAAUCUGGGAUUCAAAAAAAUCAUUGAGAUUAUUCUUUUAAAAAUACUAUCAUUAAAUCUUCUUCAGUUAUGUUUACUAUUACAUAAUGAAUUCCUCAUUUUGAUUUAUUAGGGCGGCAUUGAUAGGAUGUUCUUUUUUAUCCAUGUUCGUAACACUGCAUCCAAACAAGUGACUUUCUGAGCUUACCCUUUUCCUGGUCAAUUAAUCAUUUUAUAUUGAUUUGCAGAAGAUACUCCACUGCAGAGACCUUCUGUAAUUAUCUAAAUUUUAUGUGUUUAGGAAGCUUUUGAAAAGCUAAGGCUAAAUCAAUUUUUGUAAUGGUGAGAAUAAUACUGUGAGUGAAAUAAAUGUUUGCCUUUUUCACUUAGGUUAUUGCAUGAGUCUUUAAGUGUAUGAUUUGCUAAUUAAAACAAGAAAGCAAAAACAGUUUUA